UACGAAGGGGGCUAGCGUUGUUCGGAUUUACUGGGCGUAAAGCGCACGUAGGCGGAUUGGUCAGUUAGGGGUGAAAUCCUGGAGCUCAACUUCAGAACUGCCUUUAAUACUGCCAGUCUCGAGUCCGGAAGAGGUAAGUGGAACUCCUAGUGUAGAGGUGGAAUUCGUAGAUAUUCGCAAGAACACCAGUGGCGAAGGCGGCUCACUGGUCCGGUACUGACGCUGAGGUGCGAAAGCGUGGGGAGCAAACAGG
rnacentral:rRNA from 1 species